GACGAACGCUGGCGGCGUGCUUAACACAUGUAAGUCGAACGGUAAGGCCCCAGCUUGCUGGGGUACACGAGUGGCGAACGGGUGAGUAACACGUGGGUGACCUGCCUUGCACUUCGGGAUAAGCCUGGUAAACUGGGUCUAAUACCUGAUAGGACCGCACCGUGAGUGUGUCGUGUCAAGUUUUUCGGUGUGGGAUGCUCCCGCGGCCUAUCAGCUGGUUGGUGGGGUAUGGGCUACCUACGCGGCGACGGGUAGGCGGCCCGAGAGGGUUGACGGCCACAUUGGGACUGAGACACGGCCCAGAAUCCUACGGGAGGCAGCAGUGGAGAAUAUUGCACAAUGGGCGGAAGCCUGAUGCAGCGACGCCGCGUGGGGGAUGACGGCCUUCGGGUUGUAAACUCCUUUCACCAUCGACGAAGGUUUUCUGACGGUAGAUGGAGAAGAGGCACCGGCUAACUACGUG
rnacentral:rRNA from 1 species